UGCCCUAUUUACACAGACGCUUCAACCAGAAAUUAGCUUUGAGCAUAGCCUUAGAAAAGAAAGAAGAAUGAGGCAUCAGAGAGAUUGGGAUUUUCUGUAAAAGGGUAGUUGCCCCUCUCUGUUAUGCCUGUGAUUUCUCCAUUAAAAAUCAACAGCCCUUUCAAUUAAAAUAAAAUAAAAAAAAUCAUCCAAACAGACCCCUAAUAUAUUCCUCUUUCUCUUCCUCCUCUCUUUGUGCUGCUGAAUACUGAUGUAUAUAAAGGGACUGUGAUGAUUGCUUUUCCUUUCUGGGCUAUGUUCAAUUCAUGACAUUGAGAAAAUAUCCGACCCGUAUCUUGGCGGGGCGACCCGAUAAGGCUUUUGUAUAGCAAACUGGUGUCUGCAGCCAUGGCGGCGUCGCCUUCUCUUUUGCUUUGAUAAAAAAAAAACAGCAAAUCUGAGCCCUCACAAAAGGCCCUUGUAAUAGCAUGUUUGGCCGUGCUUCUAAAAUCAACUUAUUUUGUAAUAGCUUGUUUGGUCGUGCUUCUAAAAUCAACUUAUUAGAUUUAAGAAACUAACCCUUAUUUUUUGAGACCUCACAAGUCUGCAAUUAUGAAAAGGGAAAAGGUUAGCCCAGAAGAAUUAAAGAAAUGAGGCAAAAACAGUGAGUUUGGGAUUUUCUUUGAAAGGGUGGUUGCCCCUCUGUUUCACCAUUGAUUUUCCUCCGUUAUUUAAAAAAAAAAAGAACCAACAGCCCUUGUUUAUGUCUUUAUGACAAAAAGCAGAAGCAAUAGGGAUAAGGCUGCAUAUUCACUAUUCUCCCCGAACCCACUUGUGUUAUUAUACUGUAUUUGUUGUUGUUGUUGUUGCUGCAUACUGACAUCUCUGUGUGUUCUUUUAUAGUAUUGAUGGAAGGUACAUAAAGUGGCAGUGAUGAUGUUUCUAUAUCUUGGCUAACCGAUUUGGGCAUUGAGAUGACCCGACCUGUAUCUUGGCGUGGCAGCACGGUAUGUCCUGUGAUUGAGAUCUCUCACAUGCAACCGGUGUUUUUGCAGCCAUGGCGUGGUUGGCUUCUCUUUUGCCUUAUCAUAGCACACAUCUGAGCUCCAUUUGCUUGAAAGUACAGAAAACAGAAUCUUUUCCAUUUGAGUAUGAUUGACUGCUUGAAAGAGGCGAUGAUGAUUUUUUGUCAAUCUUCUAUUCCCUUCUGAGCUUGUCAGUUGGGCAUUUGAGUGGAUUCGACUCGUAUCUUGGCAGGGCAUGCCCCCAGAUUUCUGGUGUUUUUUUGCAGCCAUGGCGUCGUGGGAUCUCCUUUUGCUUGAGUUAUAACACAGAUCUGAGCCUCAAAACCGUAAUAGGAUCUACCCAGUUGGACCGAAGCAGGGGUGAUUUGCACAAAUAGGAUGCUUUGAGGCCACUAUUUAUAUUUUGUUGCGUAAGUAUUUCUGCAUGCAGAGAGCUGUGGGGGUGUUUCAAUGGGUGGUUUUGCCCCUCUCUGUCAUUCUGCACUGCCAAUGAUCACUCAAAUGAAAAACUUUUCCAAUUACAAAACCACCCUUUUGGUGAAAAUACAUAUGACCUUGCUAGUUUCCUUUUCUUGUUAUUCCCUCGGUUUCAUUUUAUGUGCAGUGAGGCUAUGAAGAUUUUGUUCUUCUUUGCAAUAAGAUUCAGAUAUCUUUCUAUUACAACAACAGCAACAUACCAAUAAAAUCCUACAAUUGUAGUCUGGGUAGUGUGUACGCAGACUUUAUCCCUAACCUUGUGAAGAUAGAGAUGUUGUUUCCGAUAGAGUUAUAAAAAAUCAGAAUUUGAGAUUAUCCGGACCAUAUCUUGGCGGGGCAUGCCCCCAGAUUUCUGGUGGUUUAUGCAGCCAUGGCGUCUUCGGAUAGCUUUCUGCAUCUGUCUAGUUGAAGUGUCCCGAUGACUUUUCAUGACAAGUUUGAGGGGCUAUCUAUGUAUUCUGCCUAUCUGAAAUAACUAUACAAUACAAUACAAUGGUAGCAACCAUCCAAACAAGCUGUUAUUAGUCUAUUUGGUUUAGAGACGAGUUAUGCCAGUGGUGGUGAGCAUGAUUGACGGCUUGAAAGUGGUGAUGAUGAUUUUGUAAAUAUUUCAUUCCCUUCUGAGCUUAUUAAUCAGGCAUUUGAGAUUAUCUGACCCGUAUUUUGGCGGGGCAUGCUUUAGGUUUCCCUUGGUGGUAUUUGCAGCCCUCGUGUCGUCGGACUCUUUUUGCUUGAGUUAUAACACAGAUCUGAGCCUCAAAAAGGAAGCACAAAAAUGGUGAUAAUCUCGUUAGUUUAAGUCUAAGGCUGUGGUGAAAGCAGAGAGCUGUGGGGAGUUUCUAUGGGUGGUUUUGCCCCUGUCUUUUUCUGCUGCCGAUGAUCUCUCAAAUGAAAAAUUCUCCAGUUGCAAAACCACCCUUUUGGUGAAAUUUCAGUUGACCUCCCUCUUUUCCUUUUCUAGUAACUCCCUCCGCUUUAUUUUAUGUGCAAUGAAGCUAUGAAGAUCUUCUUCUUCUGUGGAUGAUGAAUCAGAUGUAUCUUUCUAAUGAGCUGAAAAAAUCUGUAUCUUGGCGUGGCAGCUCAGAUGGGUGUUUGAGAUAUUUGGAAAAAUUCCAUUUUUUUGGUUUUUCUUCUGUAUCUCACAAGACUACAUUGCCUUGAUUUUGUUAAAAGAAUGAGCUUUUAGACUCGGAAAAUGAAGGAGUUCCUAAGGGUGGUUGGUCUGUUUCUCUUUGAGUUGAUACGUAUCUUGGCUUCAAGACUGAAUCUAGACUGUAAAAAGACUGAACAAUAUUUUUGAGCUAAUUCCUGGCUUGGCAGUUGGCACUUGGAAGGUCUAGCACUGUACUUUUUACAGUUUUACUUGAGAUGUAAAACUGUAAAGUUGCAGGUAUUCAGCAUUCUUGAAGACACAGUUUCAGGACUAGUUACAGGAAGUGAAAACUAUGAAGAAAAACUGAAUUUAAGUAGAGUGAGGUUCCUAUUCAAUUGACAAAGUUGGAUUUUUUUGCAAGCUAUAACUCAACCAAACAUCAGAAAUAAUACUUUUUCAAAGUGCAUAUUUUCUAGCACGGUAGCAAUGGAGAAAUAAGGUGACUGAUAGAAGUUUGCUGAACCAAAAGCACAAACGUUAUAGGAUCGUUUUCUGCUGUUAUGUGGAAACUUGUUAUCUCUGUAGAAAUGGUUGACACAGGGCCAACGCAAAUAUGAGAUUAUCGUCUAUACUA